GAUGAACGCUGGCGGCGUGCCUAAUACAUGCAAGUCGAGCGAACGGACGAGAAGCUUGCUUUUCUGAUGUUAGCGGCGGACGGGUGAGUAACACGUGGAUAACCUACCUAUAAGACUGGGAUAACUUCGGGAAACCGGUGCUAAUACCGGAUAAUAUUUUGAACCGCAUGGUUCAAAAGUGAAAGACGGUCUUGCUGUCACUUAUAGAUGGAUCCGCGCUGCAUUAGCUAGUUGGUAAGGUAACGGCUUACCAAGGCAACGAUGCAUAGCCGACCUGAGAGGGUGAUCAGCCACACUGGUACUGAGACACGGUCCAGACUCCUACGGGAGGCAGCAGUAGGGAAUAUUCCGCAAUGGGCGAAAGCCUGACGGAGCAACGCCGCGUGAGUGAUGAAGGUCUUCGGAUCGUAAAACUCUGUUAUUAGGGAAGAACAUAUGUGUAAGUAACUGUGCACAUCUUGACGGUACCUAAUCAGAAAGCCACGGCUAACUACGUG
rnacentral:rRNA from 1 species